ensembl:lncRNA
UUUUAUUUAUUUUUUUUAUUUUUUAUUUUUUUCACAAAACCUGUCACAAAUUAGAAAUCAAAGGCCAUUUUCUACCUUGCUUACAUCUUUGCAUAUAAAGUGUGAAACUCUUUUGAAAACUUUGAUUAACUAAUCACAAAGUGUUUUAGCAUUAUAUUUAGAUCUAGACUGAUUGUUGCAGAAAUUAUCUCAUUGCAACUUGAUUUGAGUGCACACACACACACACAGGAUGUAAAUAAGAGAUUCAUUAAGGAGUGCAGACAGUGUGCUGUUUGAUUGACAGCUCAAUUAUAAAGGGAGUGUUUUUGCAUGAUUUCUAUAUAUAAUUUGAACAAAAUAUAAAUUACAAAUUAUUUCCAUUCUACAAAGACUAAACAAAGCAUGCAAACAGUUUUGUGCUGAUGUAUUCGUCUCUAUUACAUAUUAAAAACCUGGAAGCUUUGAGUUCGGAAACUCACAGUGUGUUUAUAUAUUAGCUUACAAAGGCCAGAUAAGGUAAAAUUUUAAUUCAUGACCCCUUUAAAAUGAAAAUGCAAUCAUUACUAUUCUUGUUUUUGUUGCAUCUGAUCAUCAUCAGCUAAUUUAAUACGUUGCAGGUGGAUCUCCCAUUAACGAUGAAGUGAAGGUUGUUCAUGUUGAAGACAGUGGGAUUUCAUUUGAGAAAUGCACGUUAACUAGAUUCCACGCCAAACUUCUGAACCAAUCCUUCUCCCCGAAAGGUCUUCUUUUGAGGAAUGGCUUCUCUGUGUAUUACCACUGCGAAACACUUAUCUAUGAAACUCAGAAAUCAUACCUGACGCUUCAUGUGUACUUGAUUCCAAGUGAGAAAAAAAUGAUAGAGGCUGCUGAAAACAAUGAGAAUAAAAUCAAGUCAAAGCUCAUCUCAAAGCCAGGGCCUGUAUCCUCGCUUCAGACGAAGACUUGUUAUUCACUGAGGACACUGGAUGAGAAUAAGAAGUCUGAGUGCCGUUCUGAAGUUCAACCCAAGCAGUUAGAGCUCAAGUACAAGCCCAUAAAUCCAGACUUCUUUGAAGUAUUCAUUGCUGCUCCAACGGAUUUUCACCUUCAGCUGAUACAACGACAUCGCAGUGAAGGUGUAUGGGAAGCCAAAAUACGUGACGGUAAUAUUUGUUAUGAGUUUCGUUGUUAUGGGGCAAGAACCAUAUGUGCAAAAGCAGUAGGUUCUCACGCCUAUGUUCUGACAUUUAAAAUAAUCAGAUAUGUGUGUUUGUUUCAGGUGAUUACACCCAGAGAGUUUCUUCAGAGGGUAAGUGAAGUGUGCAGUGCUUCAUUAUGCAUUAUAAUCAAACUGUGUUUUUAUUUUAUUUUCUUUGUAAUUUAGAGUCAGUUUGGCUGUGUGCUUGAGUAUAUUGUCCUUUUAUUUGGUUUUCUCAAAUGUUUUUACAAAUUUCACCAGAUUAAGUGUAGCUUCUGAACUUGUUAUAAUAUACUGUGUUAUAUGCAGAUGGAUUUCACAAGCACAAGCAGGGUUAGUUCACCCACAAAUUAAAUUUUAAAGUGUCAAGUGAUCAAGGAUAUUCUACUUUAACCUAUUGUGAGGGUGAAGAGAUAUAUUUUUAUGAUAGUGCUGUAUUUAUGAGUAUAUGUCACAAUGCUAUGGGAAAGUUAUUUCCAACGAUAUGCCAUAUCGACAGGUACUUGUGUAAGCACAGUCCUAACCAGACACGAUGCAACGAGAUUUCAGCUACAAAUAUUUUAUCUGUCCACAAAUAUCACAGCCAUUCAGAAGCACAGACAUACACUACUCUUCCAGUGAAAUGGGGAAGUUUAUCUUCUAAUAAUCUAAUAUUAAAGCUUUUUAUCAUUAUAUAUAUAAAAAAAAAAAAAAAAAAACUGAGUGAAUGAUACCAUCUUAAUGAAAUAUGCUUGUUGGUUUGUAUUGAGUUCACAGUCUUAACAUACAUGUUUUCUAUCUGGUCUCAUGGCAUAAAUGUACCUGGGUGCACCUUUUUUAGCAAGACAUAAAAAAAAAAAACCAUACCGAUUAGUACACCACUGCAGUUUCCAAAAUAAAUGAACACUAGAGGCAGAAAAAACA